rnacentral:rRNA from 1 species
CCUACGGGAGGCAGCAGUAGGGAAUCUUCCACAAUGGGCGAAAGCCUGAUGGAGCAACGCCGCGUGGGUGAAGAAGGUCUUCGGAUCGUAAAACCCUGUUGUUAGAGAAGAAAGUGCGUGAGAGUAACUGUUCACGUUUCGACGGUAUCUAACCAGAACGCCACGGCUAACUACGUGCCCGCAGCCGCGGUAAUACGUAGGUGGCAAGCGUUAUCCGGAUUUAUUGGGCGUAAGGGGAACGCAGGCGGUCUUUUAAGUCUGAUGUGAAAGCCUUCGGCUUAACCGGAGUAGUGCAUUGGAAACUGGGAGACUUGAGUGCAGAAGAGGAGAGUGGAACUCCAUGUGUAGCGGUGAAAUGCGUAGAUAUAUGGAAGAACACCAGUUGCGAAAGCGGCUCUCUGGUCUGUAACUGACGCUGAGGUUCGAAAGCGUGGGUAGCAAACAGGAUUAGAUACCCGGGUAGUC